rnacentral:rRNA from 1 species
AUUGAACGCUGGCGGCAUGCCUUACACAUGCAAGUCGAACGGCAGCACGGGUGCUUGCACCUGGUGGCGAGUGGCGAACGGGUGAGUAAUACAUCGGAACGUACCUUAUCGUGGGGGAUAACGCAGCGAAAGCUGUGCUAAUACCGCAUACGCCCUGAGGGGGAAAGCGGGGGAUCGCAAGACCUCGCGCGAUUAGAGCGGCCGAUGCCUGAUUAGCUUGUUGGUGGGGUAAAAGCCCACCAAGGCGACGAUCAGUAGCUGGUCUGAGAGGACGAUCAGCCACACUGGGACUGAGAAACGGCCCAGACUCCUACGGGAGGCAGCAGUGGGGAAUUUUGGACAAUGGGGGCAACCCUGAUCCAGCAAUGCCGCGUGAGUGAAGAAGGCCUUCGGGUUGUAAAGCUCUUUUGUCAGGGAAGAAACACCGGCUCUAACACAGUCUGGGAAUGACGGUACCUGAAGAAUAAGCACCGGCUAACUAUGUGCCAGCCGCCGCCGUAA